rnacentral:rRNA from 1 species
CCUACGGGUGGCUGCAGUGGGGAAUCUUGGACAAUGGGGGCAACCCUGAUCCAGCGACGCCGCGUGGGUGAUGAAGGCCUUCGGGUUGUAAAGCCCUUUUCCCGGGGACGAUGAUGACGGUACCCGGGGAAUAAGCACCGGCUAACUCCGUGCCAGCAGCCGCGGUAAGACGGAGGGUGCUAGCGUUGUUCGGAAUUACUGGGCGUAAAGGGCGCGUAGGCGGCUCUUUCAGUCGGAUGUGAAAGCCCGGGGCUCAACCCCGGAACGGCAUCCGA